rnacentral:rRNA from 1 species
UUUGUAGAAUGAACCGGCGAGUUACGAUUUGAUGCAAGGUUAAGCAGUAAAUGUGGAGCCGUAGCGAAAGCGAGUCUGAAUAGGGCGUUUAGUAUUUGGUCGUAGACCCGAAACCAGGUGAUCUACCCUUGGUCAGGUUGAAGUUCAGGUAACACUGAAUGGAGGACCGAACCGACUUACGUUGAAAAGUGAGCGGAUGAACUGAGGGUAGCGGAGAAAUUCCAAUCGAACCUGGAGAUAGCUGGUUCUCUCCGAAAUAGCUUUAGGGCUAGCCUCAAGUGAUGAUUAUUGGAGGUAGAGCACUGUUUGGACGAGGGGCCCCUCUCGGGUUACCGAAUUCAGACAAACUCCGAAUGCCAAUUAAUUUAACUUGGGAGUCAGAACAUGGGUGAUAAGGUCCGUGUUCGAAAGGGAAACAGCCCAGACCACCAGCUAAGGUCCCAAAAUAUAUGUUAAGUGGAAAAGGAUGUGGCGUUGCCCAGACAACUAGGAUGUUGGCUUAGAAGCAGCCAUCAUUUAAAGAGUGCGUAAUAGCUCACUAGUCGAGUGACACUGCGCCGAAAAUGUACCGGGGCUAAACAUAUUACCGAAGCUGUGGAUUGUCCUUUGGACAAUGGUAGGAGAGCGUUCUAAGGGCGUUGAAGCAUGAUCGUAAGGACAUGUGGAGCGCUUAGAAGUGAGAAUGCCGGUGUGAGUAGCGAAAGACGGGUGAGAAUCCCGUCCACCGAUUGACUAAGGUUUCCAGAGGAAGGCUCGUCCGCUCUGGGUUAGUCGGGUCCUAAGCUGAGGCCGACAGGCGUAGGCGAUGGAUAACAGGUUGAUAUUCCUGUACCACCUAUAAUCGUUUUAAUCGAUGGGGGGACGCAGUAGGAUA